rnacentral:piRNA from 1 species
GAGAAGGGUCACGUUUUGUGUUGUAUCUGC